AUACUCAAGUCUAUGGCUGAACAUUCCCAAUCUCAUCUGAUCUCGGAAGCUAAGCAGGCUCGGGUCCGGUUAGUACUUGGAUGAGAGACAAUAUUUAUGAAAGGCAAACAUGUCUUUGCUAUG
ensembl:rRNA 5S_rRNA 5S ribosomal RNA